CCAGCACCCCGAGUGGUCGGGACGAUUAUUGGGCCUAAAGCAUCCGUAGCCGGUUUUACAAGUCCUCCGUUAAAUCCAACUGCUUAACAGAUGGGCCGCGGAGGAUACUAUAAGACUAGGAGGCAGGAGAGGCAAGCGGUACUCGGUGGGUAGGGGUAAAAUCCGUUGAUCCAUUGAAGACCACCAGUGGCGAAGGCGGCUUGCCAGAAUGCGCUCGACGGUGAGGGAUGAAAGCUGGGGGAGCAAACCGGAUUAGAUACCCGGGUAGUCCCAGCUGUAAACGAUGCAGACUCGGUGAUGGACUAGCUUUAUGCUAGUCCAGUGCCGCAGGGAAGCCGUUAAGUCUGCCGCCUGGGUAGUACGGUCGCAAGACUG
rnacentral:rRNA from 1 species